UACGGAGGGUGCAAGCGUUAUCCGGAUUCACUGGGUUUAAAGGGUGCGUAGGCGGGCAGGUAAGUCAGUGGUGAAAUCUCCAAGCUUAACUUGGAAACUGCCGUUGAUACUAUCUGUCUUGAAUACUGUGGAGGUGAGCGGAAUAUGUCAUGUAGCGGUGAAAUGCUUAGAUAUGACAUAGAACACCAAUUGCGAAGGCAGCUCACUACACAGCCAUUGACGCUGAGGCACGAAAGCGUGGGGAUCAAACAGG
rnacentral:rRNA from 1 species